UGCGUAGGCGGUCUAUUAAGUCAGAUGUGAAAGCCCCGGGCUUAACCUGGGAACUGCAUUUGAUACUGGUAGACUAGAGUAUGGUAGAGGGGGUAGAAUUCCUAGUGUAGCGGUGAAAUGCGUAGAUAUUAGGAGGAAUACCAGUGGCGAAGGCGGCCCCCUGGACCAAUACUGACGCUGAGGUACGAAAGCGUGGGUAGCGAACA
rnacentral:rRNA from 1 species